UCGUAAGUCGUUGUCAGGCACUUUGCCGGCAGCGGCGAGCUUCGUUCGUCUCAUAUGGACGCGACGAGGUUUCACCCGAAAAAGGAA
rfam:Pseudomonas brenneri strain RGCB 108 Contig041, whole genome shotgun sequence.